rnacentral:rRNA from 1 species
UACGUAGGGCGCAAGCGUUGUCCGGAAUUAUUGGGCGUAAAGAGCUCGUAGGUGGCUUGUCACGUCGGGUGUGAAAGCUUGGGGCUUAACUCCAGGUCUGCAUUCGAUACGGGCUGGCUAGAGGUAGGUAGGGGAGAACGGAAUUCCUGGUGUAGCGGUGAAAUGCGCAGAUAUCAGGAGGAACACCGGUGGCGAAGGCGGGUCUCUGGGCCGAUACUGACGCUGAGGAGCGAAAGCGUGGGGAGCAAACAGG